rnacentral:misc_RNA from 1 species
UAUCCGUAGGUGAACCUGCGGAAGGAUCAUUAUUGUAUAACCGAGAUGCGAGGGCUGUCGCUGACCCGAAAGGUCGUGCACGCCCGAGUGCCCUCACACACAUCCAUCUCACCCCUAUGUGCACCACCGCGUGGGUCCCCCUUUGGCUUGUUCGGAGGGGGGCUUACGUUUUCACACAAACUUUGUAUGCAGUGUAGAAUGUAUUUUUUGUUUUUGCGAUCACGCAAUCAAUACAACUUUCAACAACGGAUCUCUUGGCUCUC